GGGGGGGGGGGUGUUGCUGUUGUGGUGGUUGGACUUUGGAGAUGAAAAUUGAAAGAUUUAUGGAUUCUGAAUCAGUACUAGGAAUUCUAGGAUGCUUAUCAGUAGAAUUUGAGAAGACUUGCAGAUUCUAGACAGGAGCAUCUGUACCUCCAGCUCCAAGAUUUACUGGUGUCUUCAUCCUUCACACUUGUGUGGGCAGUGAACUUAUUAAGCCCAUAUUCUACAUUUAAGCUUUGAGAGAGAGAUCCUCAUAAUGACAGAUAGACUGACACAAGUUUAUGCAGUGGUUGGUGCUUUCCGAGGCGAAGAUGAGAGUCCUACAAUAUGGAUGCACCAAUAUAGCAAAUUUUAAAAGCACCUUUGUUUAAAUCUGAACAAUAUUUUUUUAGACUUGUUGUGUUUUCAAGACUGAGACAACCUAGUUAAUUAAUUAGGUUUGGGACAAAGAAGGCUCUAUCCCUAAUGUUCAACGUUUUCUGAAUAUGUUUACUCUCCCACAAGGUCUGUUCCCAAGUAGGGCUUUCAUCUAGCAUUAUUCAAGUGUGUUAUCAUUUUAUUCUUUUUAAUGUUCAGUCCUAAUUUUCUCUACUUUUUUAAUUAACAUGUUUAAACAUUCAUUUCUUUUUCUAUUGUCAAUUGCAUUAUAAAAUAGGUCACAGAAUCAUUGGAAAAUGUUGAAUCUGAUGUCGAUGUAGCAUGAGAUGGUUAUUCUUCCAUGUAGGGGCUGGGCAUUCAUUCCUUGCUAAAUGUUAAGCGUUUAACUCAUGUGUUAUCCCUUGACGUACAUACCUGUGGUGUGCUGUUAGUGUUGUGGGAUCUAGAUUUGCUCUUUCCAUUAAUUUGACAAGGCAAAGUUAACAAGUAGGAUAGGGUUACAUCUCAUAUUACGUUGAUGCUGUAGAGUUUUGGUUGCUUUCUUGCAAUAUCUAUGAAUGUAGUGAAAAUUUUCUGUUUCAGUAUGUAGGAUCAUUUUGAUUGCUGCAGAUCUGUAGCUGCAUUAUCUUUCUCUUUGCUUUUAUCUUCUCAAUUAUAGUGCUUUUAAGAGGGCACUGAUGUUUGGACUUUAGGGCUUAGAGUUAGUUAAGUUUAUAGUGUUUGACUCUUUGGUUUUCAGAACCUUCUUAGGUUGCAUUGCCAUCUAAUAGUUCUUAAAAAUGUACAGCACAGGUGAAAAAUAUGGACAUAUUUGUUGUUGUUUGACUUUUGCAGAUCACAUGCACAGAACCUCUAUUGGUGAUACUUUGACCAGUCUUAUCAAUUGUUAUAGGGUAGAGUCAGCCAAGAUAAAAUUUUGAAGUAAAAGAGUGCUACUUAUUCUAACUUCUAUGUUCAAGCUUGGUAAUAGCCUGUAUGAUGGCAAAAUAUUAUCUUGCUGUUAGGUGCCAUGUGGCCUACAUACCAGAGAAGUCUUCUAUAGGAGUGCGUGCUGUGGACAUAACAGUUCCUUAUUGAUAUUGCAAUGCAUGAAUGGACAAGUUGUGUCAUGUUUGGUAUAAUUUGAUGAAAAGAAGUUAUUUUCUUUUAGCUGCUUAAAAGAUUGAGAGAGGAAAAUCAAACCUGGAGUCUGCUGAAUAGUUAUUGUUGCUCAUAAGUUUCUCACAAACUUGUCUGUAUGUGGUUGCUUUAGCAGAUAAAUGAUUAAUAACAUAGUUUUUCUUCCCCACAAUGAAUUUAUUAAUGAAUUUGAUAAUGAUACAUAUCUACAAGUAAUUGUGGGCUUACCAUGAGUAGUUGCAUCAUAUUUGGAUGAAUGUAAUCUCUGAAGCCAAUCAUUAGAAUCAUUAAAUUUGUGUUGGCUGCAUCUUAGCAAAAGAAGCAGCAAUAUUUUUUAAUACAGUUUCCAAUCUUCUAAAGUCAUUAAUUUUCUACUUUUCAGUUUAGCAUCUCCAGUAAUUAUCUGUGUUUCUUGUCCCUCUUUCUGUGACUCUGUAUGCCUUUUUUUUUCCACAUGAAAUAUUUUCCUAUGUUACAGGAUUGAGGAAAGAAAAUUUACUUUCUGUUUCCAGCUACUGCUACAUGGAGAUGGCGAUUU
rnacentral:misc_RNA from 1 species